rnacentral:rRNA from 1 species
UACGUAGGGAGCAAGCGUUUGUCCGGAAUCAUUGGGCGUAAAGCGCGCGUAGGUGGCCCUGUAAGUCCGUUGUGAAAGUCAAAGGCUCAACCUUUGAAAGCCGAUGGAUACUGCAGGGCUAGAGUACGGAAGAGGCGAGUGGAAUUCCUGGUGUAGCGGUGGAAUGCGCAGAUAUCAGGAGGAACACCAAUAGCGAAGGCAGCUCGCUGGGACGUUUACUGACACUGAGGCGCGAAAGCGUGGGGAGCGAACAGG